CAGUAAAUUCUAUUCAUGUGUUUACCAAUGGUAUGAGUUAGUAGCAUGUUUCUAAGAUUUGACCAGGAUCAUUUCUUUUUCCCCAGACCCCAGGAAAGAGAGGGAAUGGGUUGCAGCCCUGCUGUUAAGUCUUUCUGUCCCAUAAUGGAACUUUCUUUAUCUCAUAAAGGAUAUUUACAAUAAAUGUACUUUGUAUAUGAAAAGUUUUCUGUAACAAAAAGUACUAUCAAACAACAACCAAAUUGAGGCAAUCACACCAGAGGACCAUUCCUGUGCCUGCCAUCCUGUCCAAAUGUCCAUCUAUAACAUUUUCUAUAAAGUCAGGGCUUCAAUUGGGAGUAAAAUACAGAUUGAGAGGGUGUUUGGAAUUGACUCAAGAGGCAGUGGCCACUGUACCUAAUCCAGGGGAAAAUGCAUACACCUAAGAAUAAAUGUGAGUGCCCUACAUUGGCAGGGACAACCCAGAGUUGCCCUUGGGUUAAAUGGAAUUUUUUCUUUGAGACAGGCCUCACUCUGUCACCCAGGCUGGAGUUCAGUGGCACAAUCAGAGCUCACUGCAGUCUCAACCCCCCAUGCUCAAGCAAUCCUCCCACCUCAGCCUCCUAAGUAGCUGGGACAACAGGCAUGUGCCACCAUGCCUGGCUAAUUUUUUAUUUUUUGUAGAGACAGGGUCUCACUAUGUUGCCCAGGCUAGUGUUGAAUUCCUGGGUUCAAGUGAUCCUCCCACCUCAGCCUCCCGAGUAGCUGGGACUACAGACACAUGCCACCAUGCCCAGCCUAAACUAAUAUUAAUAAGAAACCCUGUCUGGGUGUGGUGGCACGUGCCUUAUAGUCCCGGCUACUCAAGAGGCUGAGACAGGAGGAUCACUUGAGCCCAGGAGUUCUGGGCUGUAAUGCACUAUGCUGAUUGGGUGUCUGCAUUAAGUUCAGUAUCAAUAUGGUGAUCUUCUGGGAGCAGGGGGCCACCAGGUUGCCUAAGGAGCGGUGAAUUGGCCCAGGUUGGAAACAGAGCAGGUCAAAACUCCUGUGCUGAUCGGUAGUGGGAUCAUGCCUGUGAAUAGCUACUGUGCUCCCACCUGGGCAACAUAGUGAGACCUCUAUCUCUAAAAGCAAACAAACAAACAAACACUGACUUCCAUUGAGGUGCAACAUAUUUUGUGGUGACCACUUCAUGAUUCCUCCCAGGAGAGGAGAGAUGGUGGCCCAGAACCUGGAGAUGCAGAGGGGAUGGUUUUGCCUUUGGUAUCGGUUAUAGGCAAGGACAUUAUAGCACCUUGUUGGAUGAAGGCAGGUGGAGCCCACAUCUGUUGCAACACAAGUUAUCCACACUCUACCAUAUUGCUCCUGACAAACCAGAUGCCUCCUGACCACGUGGGCAGCUUCUAUUCUUGCAUCUUUUUGGGAAGUGCCCAGCUGCUCCUGACUCUAUUAUUCAAGUAUCACACACAUCCACUCUCAGUGGAAACUUAGGGAACCCCUGAGAAGAGGUGAAUUGUGUGUAGUUCCUCAAGUGGCUCUCUAUUGUUCUGAGUACUUCUCACUAGGAGUAAAUUGUGAAGAUUUCAUGGACAUUUAUCACUUCCCUAAUAGUACUCUUAUAAUUUCUUAUGCCUGUCUUUACUUUAAUCUCUUAAUCCCGUUAUCUUCAUAAGCUGAGAAUGUACGUCACCUCAGGACCACUAUUGUACAAUUUGAUUGUAAAACGUGUGUUUGAACAAUAUGAAAUCAGUGCACCAUGAAAAAGAACAGAAUAACAGCAGUUUUCAGGGAACAAGGGAAGAUAACCAUAAGGUCUGACUGCCUGUGGGGUUGGGCAGAAUAGAGCCAUAUUUUUCUUCUUGCAGAGAGCCUAUAAAUGGACAUGCAAAUAGGAGAGGUAUCGCUGAAUUCUUUUCCCAGCAAGGAAUACCCUGGGGAAGGAAUGCAUUCCUGGGGGGAGGUCUAUAAAUGGCCGCUCUGGGAGUGUCUGUCUUAUGUGGUUGAGGUAAGGACUGAAAUACGCCCUAAUCUCCUGAGUACCCUGAGGCUUACUAGGACUAGGAAAUUCCAGCAUGGUAAAUUUUGCUCAGACUCGUUCUCUGCUCUCGAACCCUGUUUUCUGUUAAGAUGUUUAUCAAGACAAUACAUGCUACAGUGGGACAUAGACCCUCAUUAGUAAUUCUAAUUUUGUCUUUGCCUUGUGAUCUUUAUUGCCCUUUGAAGCAUGGGAUCUUUGUGACCUACUCCGUGUUCAUACGCCCCCCUCCCUUUUUAAAUCCCUAAUAAAAACUUGCUGGUUUUGUGGCUCAGGGAACAUCACAGACCUACUGAUAGGUGAUGUUACCCCUGGAGGCCCAGCUGUAAAAUUCCUCUCUUUGUACUCUUUCUCUUUAUUUCUCAGAUGAGCCGACACUUAGGGAAAAUAGAAAGAACCUACGUUGAAAUAUUGGGGGCGGGUUCCCGCAAUACUCAUUUCUCUCUGUAUUAGUCUGUUCUCACGCUGCUAAUAAAGACAUACCCAAGACUGGGUAAUUUUAAAGAAGAGGUUUAGUGAACUUACAGUUCCACAUGACUGGGGAGGCCUCAUAAUCGUGGUGGAAGGUGAAGGAGGAGCAAAGGCAUGUCUUACAUGCUGGGAGGCAAGAGGGUCUGUGCAGGGGAACUGCCCUUUAUAAAACCAUCAGAUCUCCUGAGACUUAUUCACUAUCAUGAGAACAGCACCCUGCUCCCAUGAUUCAAUUACCUCCCACUGGGUUCCUCUCACAACACAUGGGGGUUAUGGGAGCUACAAUUCAACAUGAAAUUUGGGUGAGGACACACAGCCAAAUCAUAUCACUCUCCUGCUAUGUUUUCAUACAAAGCAUUGCCAUGAAUGGGCCCAUGCUCCCCAUCCUACUCAAGCACAGCUCUUGGCUCUGUGCAUAUAUUAGUGGGAGGACAGUUGUGGUUUGGUGAGAAAUAAGUCAAUAGCAUCCUAUCCUGGGUCAAGUACUUGUACCAUUAGGAACUUGGAGCCUGCUGGCAUCAUAACACUGUUGCUUUACCUAGUUAGAGCAAGUGCUUCUACAGGGCACUGUCAGGCCAGAACAUGUCCUGGUGUUAGGGGUAGGGAGCUUGGUUUUUGCUUUUUAAUUUUUAUUUAUUUAUUUUUUUUUGAGACAGGAUCUCACUCUGUCACCAAGGCUGGAGUGCAGUGGCAUGAUCCCAGCUUACUGCAACCUCUGUCUCCCAGGUUCAAGCAAUUCUCCUGCCUCAGCCUCCUGAGUAGCUGGGAUUACAGACAUGCACCACCACACCUGGCUUUUUUUUUUUUUUUUUUUUUUGUAUUUUUAGUAGAGAUGGGGUUUCACCCUGUUGGCCAGGGUGGCCUCGAACUCCCGACCUCAAGUGAACUGCCUGCCUCAGCCUCUCAAAGUACUAGGAUUACAGGUGUGAGCCAUUGCACCCAGCCUGAUUUUUGCUUUCUUAUAGUGCAAAAGUCACCCUGUGGGUAUUCACAAUUUGUCCCUAACCACUAGAGGUUUUCAUGAACGUAUCCUUUGUAGCAUUCCAGAAGGUCAACUUCUUGACAGAAGCUGUCUCCCAACAUCAGUCAGUACUCAAAAAUGUGUCAGUUACCAGAGAAGGGGUUAUACCCUGAUACUUCAAUCAAUUACUCUGGCAUUGUAGAAACUAAUAAACAGCUCCAAAUAUUCUAUGAUAUCUUAAAUCAAAACAAUUAAGGAAGAGGCAAGGGAAACAAAUAGUGCCUGCUGCGAUGCUUUCUCAUUUCCCUUUGGGAAGAUAGGGUUGCUUGUUUUCCAGGAAGUCAUCCCUUAGGAAUUUUUUUUUUUUUUUUGACAGAGUCUUGCUUUGUCACCCAGGCUGGAGUGCAGUGGUGCCAUCUCAGCUCACUGUAACCUCCACCUCCCAGGCUCAAGUUGAUUCUCAUGCUUCAGCCUCCCAAGUAGCUGGGAUUACAGUCGUAUGCUACCACACCCAGCUAAUUUUUGUAUUUUUAUUUUUAUUUACUUAUUAUUUUGAGAUGGAGUCUUGCUCUGUUGCCCAGGGUGGAGUGCAGUGGCAGCAUCUCUGCUCACUGUAACCUCUGCCUCCUGGGUUCAAGCGAUUCUCGUGCCUCAGCCUCCCGAAUAGCUGGGACUACAAGUGCGUGCUACCAUGCCUGGCUAAUUUUUUUGUAUUUUUAUUAGAGAGGCGUUUCAUGUUGGCCAGGCUGGUCUCAAACUCCUGACCUCAGGUGAUCCACCUUCCUUGGUCUCCCAAAGUGCUGGGAUUGCAAGCGUGAGCCACUGCGCCUAGCCUAAUUUUUGUAUUUUUAGUGGGGGGUGGUUUUGCGAUGUUGGUCAGGCUAGUCUCGAACUACUGACCUCAGGUGAUCCACCUGCCUCGUUCUCCUAGUGCUGGGAUUAUAGGCGUAAGCCACUGCACCCAGCCAGCAAUUUUUAAUUCUCUAUUUUUUGCUCUGGAGGUCCUAAGUUUUAGAUUCAGUGACACAUUGCUGUGCCAUUCAUGCUGCUGGGUACUGUCGAUUAGCAGUCAGCAUCCAUUCCCAUCUCCUUCUAGUGUCCCUUCCUAUGCUGCAGAAUCUGGAGAGUUAAAAUGUCAUGGCCAGGAUUUGGAAAUGAAGUGGAGGCCACCCGCCUGCUGCUUGCUGCUGAAGUGUGGCAGCAAAGGUAUGAGGUGUGUCUGCAGCAGGGUUGCAGGGUCCAGUCACUAGCCAUGUAGGGGUCGAGAGCCUGUUUCAGGGGCAGCAAUAGUGAUGGUGACUUCCAAUCCCUUAAUCACAGCCACAACAGUGUGUUGUUGAGCUUAACAGGUACAGUGGUGAUGUCCUGAUUUCUUACCUUCCUGAUUGCAGCAAAAAUGGGUAGCUACCCUGUUGGGACAGUUUGGAGUCAUCCCUGCAGAGUCAUUCUCUAGCCUCCCUGAUAAUUUGUAUUACUUAAUUCCUUAUAUGAAUUCUUUUCUGUUUAAACUAGCCAGGUUGCUUUUUGCUUAAACUAGCCAGGUUGGUUUUAACUGAACCUUGAAAAAUAUACUGAAGUUCAGAGCAUCUAACACUAAAGGUUGUGCUGGUCUUGGUGGCGAGAGUAAGUCCCACAGCAGACCACAACAGAUCUAGAGAUCAUAAGGCCUCUAACAUUUCCUAUGCCUAGUUGUCAGGGGCAUGUCCUAUGCAGGCCACCCCAAAAAGCCCUUUUACGUUAGCAGUCUGGAAUGUUACUAGGUCAUCCAGUACAGGUUGCGUGUGCCAUAGUCAUAAAAUUUGGGACCUGAAACUUGGAGCCUGGAUGCAGGAGAUGUGGAAUGAAUACUAGGGUGAGUUCCAGGUACAGUCAUAAUUAAGGUGAAGGCAUCAGUGACAUGACUUCCCAGGUAAGAAGAUACAAAAGGCUGAGCCCAGAGAAGCUUGGUGCUCCUCACUUCUGAUGCUUUCUCUGCUGCUAUGAUGAUCAAAAGUCCUCAGCACCUGAGCUGGCCUUUGGGAACCAGGUGGCAAGGACAGCCACACUAACAGGAAAGAUGUAACUGCUGCUGUCCCUCUCUGGGUAUCCAGCUUUACAAGAAAUAGGUAAACUACUUUUCUUUGAUAGAUAGUAUAGUGGUGUUUGGCUGACAUUUUACCUUCUAAAAUUAUUAAGUUAUCUUUAGAGUGAACUGCAAUUACAUUUUUGACAAGCUCUAAAAUAUAUCCUAAACAAACCCCUCCAUCUCUACCACCUCUACCCUAUCCCCAGUUAUCAGCAUCUAUCAGCAGGGGAGAGAUCAUAUCUUAUCUCUUCCCUGCUUAAGAUCCUUCGAAGGUGUCCCUUCACAUUCAUAAGAAAAAAUCCAAACUCCUUAAGGUGGCCUACAAAUUCCUACAUAAUCUGGCCUUUGCUUCUCUAUCCAUUCAUAUUUCCUGUCGCUUGGACUGGCUACAUAAUUUGUGGGGCCCAAUGCAAAAUGAAAAUGCAGAGCUCCUUGUUCAAAAACUACUAAGAAUUUUAAGAGGGCAAUGGCAGAGCAUUAAACCAGGCAUCAGCCCUUUCCUUUUUUUUAAUUUUUAAAAUAUUUAUUUAGAUUUUCUUUUUGUUAGUAAUUAAAUCUUUCUUCUUCUUCUUCUUCUCCUCCUCCUCCUUCUCCUUCCUCUCCUUCCUCUUCCUCUUCUUCUUCUUCCCUCUUCCCUCUCUCCUCCUCCUCGUCCUCCUCCUCCUUGAAACAGUGCAGUGGCACAAUCUCAGCUCACUGCAACCUCCACUUUCCAUGUUCAAGUGAUUCUCAUGCCUCAGCCUCCCGAGUAGCUGGGAUUACAGGUAUGUGUCACCAUGCCCAGCUAAUUUUUGUAUUUUUAGUAGACACUGGGUUUUGCCAUGUUGGCCAGGCUGGUCUCAAGUGAUCCGCCCGCCUCAGCCUCCCAAAGUGCUGGGAUUACAGGUGUAAGCCACCGCACCUGGCUCUUUUUUUGUUUUGUUUUGUUAAGUAUAAAACCUCACCUGGAAGCACCAGCCCUUUCUGAGUGUGCGGGCCUGUGCCACUGCGUGGGUUGCACGUCCAUUAAGCUGGUCUACCUGCCAUCCACUUCCUCAACCCAAUGGCAUUCUCCUGUUUCUUAGAUAUGUACCAACCGGUUUUCUGUUUUAUCUUAGCAUGGCUCACUACUCCUCAUUAGGGUCUCUCAGCGAAGGGGGUAGCCUUUUUUUUUUUUUUUUUUUUUUUUGAGACAGAGUCUUGCUCUGCUGCCCAGGCUGGAGUGCAGUGGCCAGAUCUCCACUCACUGCAAUCUCUUUGGUUCAAGCAUUCUCCU
rnacentral:lncRNA from 10 species